rnacentral:rRNA from 1 species
UCAGGCCUAACACAUGCAAGUCGAGCGGAAACGGGUUAACUGAACCUUCGGGGGACGUUAACGGCGUCGAGCGGCGGACGGGUGAGUAAUGCCUGGGAAAUUGCCCUGAUGUGGGGGAUAACCAUUGGAAACGAUGGCUAAUACCGCAUAAUAGCUUCGGCUCAAAGAGGGGGACCUUCGGGCCUCUCGCGUCAGGAUAUGCCCAGGUGGGAUUAGCUAGUUGGUGAGGUAAGGGCUCACCAAGGCGACGAUCCCUAGCUGGUCUGAGAGGAUGAUCAGCCACACUGGAACUGAGACACGGUCCAGACUCCUACGGGAGGCAGCAGUGGGGAAUAUUGCACAAUGGGCGCAAGCCUGAUGCAGCCAUGCCGCGUGUAUGAAGAAGGCCUUCGGGUUGUAAAGUACUUUCAGCAGUGAGGAAGGUGGUAGUGUUAAUAGCACUAUCAUUUGACGUUAGCUGCAGAAGAAGCACCGGCUAACUCCGUGCCAGUAGCCGCGGUAAUACGGAGGGUGCGAGCGUUAAUCGGAAUUACUGGGCGUAAAGCGCAUGCAGGUGGUUUGUUAAGUCAGAUGUGAAAGCCCGGGGCUCAACCUCGGAAUUGCAUUUGAAACUGGCAGACUAGAGUACUGUAGAGGGGGGUAGAAUUUCA